GCUAAAUUACAGAUGGCUAGCACAGAUAGCCCUCGUGUAGCUUUGCAUGAAAUUCAAAACAAACAAACAAACACCAGCUUCUAGCCACUGCGGUAGUGGACCACCAAGGCUUUCUCGUGGGUGUGCUCCAUUGUACUUGGUUGAGAGUUAGGUUGUGGUGUUCUGCUAGUGUAGAUGUGUGUACUCUCCUUCUGCAUCAGACCUGAUGUACAAUUCCAGAUGACAAAAUGGUUUUGGACUGGAUGAAUCCACCACACACAGUUCACCAUCCCAGCUGCAAAAUCUUUUUCCUACUGCCUCCUGGAUGUCAGUUCCAAGAUGUGGUGGUGUUGGUUGGAGCUGGACUGGCCAACAAUAGUUCUUAUACACAUGUUGGGGCUGGGACCCUCUUCAUAUGAUGGAAUGAAUAAUUCAUUUCUAGUGCCACAUGGUUUUGGACUGGAGUUGACCCUUCACACUGCAUUCCAUCUUUCUACUGUCACCAGAUCUCGGAUUACUAGGUGACUAGUGUUGGUUUUGUACUAGGUCUGCACCUGUGCUGGCUUGGGUUCUCAUAGUUUAAGCCUUCUUUCCAUUCUGGUUUCUGAGCCUGAGGUGAAGAUGGUAGGGACCCUCUUCCUAACGUGGCCCAAAUGAUCCAUUCCUGGUACUGCUGGUUUUGGACUGCUUUUGACCUACUAAUUAUGGCUCAUCUAGGUAAUAAAGGAUGUGCCUUUUUUCCACCCAUUUGGUGACAUGAUCAUUCAUCAAAAGUGAGUAUACACGAUUCAUAUGUGGUGCAGUCUUCCUUGUGUGUUUCCUUUUCAUUGAGGUGUCACUCUCCAUAGGUUCUCUUCACACUUUCUGAAGGAUGUGCUUCCAGUUAGUUUUGUACUUGUCCCUCUGUCAGGUCAGUGUGGGAUUGUAGCUAUUAUGUGAGAGGAGUUAAGGUAUCGUACCUGUAGUUAUAAUUUUCUAAUACUGAUAUUUCUGAUAGAUACCACCUCUCACACUUUCCACACUUCUAGUGCUUCAUUGUUGUGUAAUCUUGAAGUGAAGAUUCUGUUCUACAGCAUAGAGGGUGUCAGCUACACUAGGAGAGUUUGUUGCACUCCUAUUGGUGGUGGUGGGUUUUUGCAUGCUACAGCACAACAGUACCACGUCAAAACACACGGAGGUAGGCUAGAGCAUCAAGGCUAGUUGAGAGCGAAAAUUGCACAUAUAGAAGGUGGUAAUAAUCGAAAAAGUUACUAUACAAGUGGACGUAAGCAUUUAUUAGAAAAAUAUUUUUUGUGUAGAAAAAUUAUAACAUUACCAUUUCAGAGGGCACAACCUUAACUUCAUUUGGUGGUCCUCUCCUCUUUCUGCAUGAGUUUUUUUCUCUUUUGAGGACUUGGGCUUCCAUGGAACCCCUUGAUUUCUGCUCACAUGUAUCUUUUAUAAUGGAGUACCCACUCAAUUGAAUCUCUCUUGGAAUCUCUUGUCCUUCUUCACCACCAACCUAAUUUUACCUGGUGGCUCAACAAGACCAAUACAAAGAAGGGUGUUCCUCUUCCUCUCUCAUGUUUGGAUCUUUUUUGCAGAUGCUUUCAUAGUGGUUGAGGUGCUUGUCUCUUUCGAGUAUUUGGGGUUGAUGGAAACAGGGGGUAUCGACCCUUUAUAUAAACGUUUAGGAACUCUUAUUGUUUUGCUGGACUUUAGAUUAUUUUCUACAUGAGGGUUGGUAAUGAUUCAGAAAAUUCAACAUUGGUAUCCUAUAUCAAUUGCCAGAUAGGCAGUUGGCUGCUAUGUAUUUUCAAACCCUCGACCUCUUCUGUUGGACUCGUUCUCUACAAGUCUGUCUUGUGUGUUUUGUUGUUUUUCACAUGCGCUGAAUCUUGGCACAAAUCAUUGUUUGAGACUCGACAAGAUAUUUAUCAUGGAUUAAUUCCUCAAUUCUUGCGAUUUUCGAUGGCUUUACACUCACCUUGGUACUCCUCACAUCAAUGUAUUUCCCAUUUACCACAAUGUUAAGCUUCUUCUAUUCUGGUUUCCUGUUCUGCAUCAAUUGGCACUGGCAGUGGCUGCUUUCAGUCAAGACUGGCCCAGUUUCUUCCUUUGUGCUUACCUCUGUUCAUUAUCUCCCUCGUAGUCUAUCAGUCAUUCAAGACACUUUUUGUUGGGGCCUUCUGAUAGUGCCUUAUUAUUAUUAUACAUAAUUCAUUUGUCCCUCACUUCUAUCAUCUAUUGGAGGAGAUAGUUUGGGCUGGCAUUUGGACGACCUUUCAUACACUUUUGAUACACACUAUCCCUGUCAUCUGGUCAUUUUCAUCUAGCUAUAGAGUGGUGGUCAUUAUUCUUCAUGCAUCAUACCAUCUUUGAAUGGGAAAUUAUUUUUUCUUACCUUCUUUUAACAACCCUCUAAUCCCUUAGAGGAUUUCAAACAGUGACAAAUGUUGCCUGUCAGGGUGUAUUUAACCGAAAUCUGCAUGGUGUAGGAACAUUCUGGCUUAACAAAGUGCUCACCUAUUACAUGGGUUUUCCACAAGACUGCUUGAUGUAUCUUCACUGUGCAUAUUUUCCUAAACAAGGCUCGAUCGACACACUAACCACUCAUGAACUAGUAUGAGAAAAGCAAGCAGGGGUUUCCUGCCCAUCCUCCAUGCCUAGUUUAAGACCAAUUACUAGCCUGCUUUUAAAAUAUAGGGUUACCUGGGUCACCCAUUGUACUGUCUUAUGGUGAUACACUCCUCUGUACUCUUCACCAUACUUUUAUACCCAUUUUUACUUCUAGUGGAGCAUGAGAUCUUUUGCCACUCAGGUGGUUCACCAUGGAGGUUACUUUCCAAAUGUGAUCAAAUGUGUAGGGUGGUAAUGUUUUGUCCAAGUAGUACACUUCACCCCUCCAGCCAGAUUUCUUCCAUUCUUCCACUACUCAGAAGAUGGGUUCUUGGGUGGUCUGGUGUUGGAUUACUGCAUGACCAUUUGCAGGGUAGAUGUUCCUCUCCCAUUCUGUCUCACUGGGGUCGAGAUGGAGAUGGACCCUUCUCUUACUGUGGCCUGGAUGCCGAAUACUGUGUGCCAGCUGGUUUUGGACUGGAAUUGACCAACCACAUAUGAUCUGAUAUGCCCUAGUCACACUAUAUAUAUACUACUUUCAAAGCCUGAUUCUGGACUGUGCUUGUGUCUUCUACCUAUCCUUGUGACACUUCUUUUCUUGGCAAAUAGUAUACCAUGGUAUAGACGAGAUGCAAUCUUCCAAGGGUGUGUCCCACACUGUUUCAAGGUAUAGAGUGUUGCAUUCCAGGUGUUCUCUUUUGGCACUUUCUAAAGGAGACUAAUCUGGGUAAUAUUUUGGACUAGUCCCCUUACCACUUCAGUAUGGGAUUCUUUCUAGAUGAGAAUAGAAGUUAUAUAUCAUAUUGGAACUAACAUUUUCGAAAACUGAAAAUGCAUUUGCAUUAGAUACCUCUCUCACUCUUUCCACCCAUCCUUCCCACUUUUAGUGCAUCUUACUUUCUCGUCUAACCUCAAAGUGAUGAUUGAACAAUCAGUACAGAGAGCUAGUUCAACUAGGAGGUGAUGUUGCACUCCUGUUGGUGGUGGGGUUUUCCAUGAUCAUUUGCUUGUACCAAUAUCACGUGUUACAUUAGGUAGGUGAGCAAAAAGUUCGUAUAUAGAGGGCAGCACUGAAUCAGGAAAGCAAGAUGGGAGUAGAGUGUCUAUUGGAAAUACAUUGUUAGUGUUGGAAAAUGUUAACUUUGAUAUUAAUGGGACACAUUUGUGUGUGUUUGCAUGCAUUUCUAUAUUCUUUUUAAUAAUUGGAAACUAUUUAUCAAGUAGCAUAUGUUUUAUUAGAGUUGUAUUUGCAAUCUUAAAAGUGGUUAUGUUGGAAAAAGUUUCCCUGUUGGGAAUAUUAAUGUUAACACAAUUCUAGGUUUCUAUAUAUAUACAUAUACAUGUCUGUUUAAUAUUUUCGCUUUUUGAAAUAGCCUUUAGAAUAUUAUUUACUGCAACUAUGUGUGUGGACUUAAACAUUUCAGAAAUGUUUCUCUGCACUACAAGGGCUAUUACCUUGCUAUCUUUCUUGUUGUGGUUUCUUGGGGGCAUUUUUUUAAACAAUGGCAUCUUUCUGAAACUGCUCAUCAACCAUCAACACAGCUCACUUUGUUUUCUUUACCUUGGAGGCACAAGGAGUUUCUCAACAUAUAGAGCCUAAUGGGGUCGUCACCUCUAUUCCUUGUCUUCUUGUUACUAUCCAUGCCUCCCCCUCGUUGAGGGCUGGCCAUUACAGAUCGUGGAAGAGAUUUGUUUCUGAAGCUACCAUUGACUUUAGUUCUGUGGGAUCUUCCUUCCACUUUCUUUAGUUUGUUUGCAACAGUCGAAUAUUUGGUUCACUGUCUUUCCCUUUGAGUUUGUUAUAUCCCCAUUUUUUCAUUGGGUCCAGUGGACUUUUAUUUUGAGGUUAUAUUCUUCACACUUAUUGUUACACUACUCUAUGGAUGUUUGGCCGCUACUUGUCCCUGAUAUUGUGGCUUUCACUGCCUCUGUUCUGGUGGAUGCAGUUCUCAUUUCGACAUCUGGUCUUGAGGAGAGAGGUUUCUCUCCACCUGCACCAUAGAGCUGAUGUCUACUCAGUUUGUCAUCAUCUGUAGUCUCAUUUUAUCUCAUUUGGACCGUUCCAAUAGAGUGUAUUCUCCAUCCUCUGGUGUUAUCAGUGGACAUGUUUGCUCUAUGAAUAUCUUAUUACUACAUUUUCACCUCUCCUCCACUUAGCUGUUAUCCAGUCCCAGACUACAGUUCUGGUUGAGGAUGCUCUGUGUUUGGUGCAGUUCAACCUCCUUUUAUAUGCUUCAAACAUAUUUAUUCCUGUUUCCCUAAGUGGGAGAUAUGAUUCACUUCGGUCUUAGCUUUCUUCCACACUAUUUACAUAAAAAAAGGGUCCAUCAUCAUCCUGGAUUAUUCCAAGUUAUGGGUGGCUUGAUUUGAUGCUAUCUCCAUUCCAUCCUCCCCUUUCUCUAUAAUCAUUACUACCUAUAAUCUCUUCUGUUCAGUCUAUUCAAUAUUAUCACACUUGUUCUGCUCCUUUUUAGGGCACAUGCCAACAUUUUUAUUGCCAUAAGGUCCCACGUCUUCUGGUAACUUUGAUUUAAAUGUGAUGAUCCUUUUCUUAUUUUUAAUGUAUUCUCCCAUCGUAUUUGUCGUCUUAAAGCUUCUCUUGACUCUAGCCUUUGACAUACCUUAGGAGAUGCUGCAGGAGGAGAUGUGGAUGACUCCCACACAGUAGUUAGUUGGUUAGUUAAGGCUUUAUGGGGCAAAACACUAAGGCUAUUUGUGCCAAACAUGUGAGUCAUAAAUAUAUAAAAACCAUAAGAAGGAAUGUAAACCAAGUAAAAAAUGUAGAAAAUGAAAAAGUCAAUGUCAUUAUUUGUAAAUUAAUAAUGAAGCCAAGUAAUGUAAAUUAUGUAUAAGAAAGAUAUAAAAUGAAAAUAAAUCAGAAAGGCCAAUACAUUUGUAUGUACAAACAAAAUCAAAACAUCAAAUAGAAUAUAAAAAAGCUAAAAACACAAUCAAUUUGGACAGUGCACUGUUACCAAAGGCACUCUAAUGUCACAACAGAUUAAUCUCAUUAUUUACACUACAGGGAAGUUUUAUCUAACUUGGCUUUUGUCUCUCUCCAUUCACUGCUGCUGGUUGCCAGCUGUUGAGAUGGAGUUUUUGCAAAACUGCUUUAGCAAUUUAUAUAUAUGUAUAUAUUAUCUUCCAGGGUAUUCUGCAAUUUUUAAAAAGUGAUAGCAUCAGGUGUGUGCCUGUUCUCACAUCUGGCUCAUGCUUACUUUCUUUAGUCAUGAAAUCUUAGUGUUGGACCCAAUUCUAGAUGAUUAUCCCUAUGACAAUCCAAACAAUCAUCAGUAUUAAUGCCCACAUAGAUCCUCAUGUCCAUUUCUUCUAGUGAAGUAUGGAAAAUCCCAUUUUUUCCAUCGUCCAAAACUGGUGAAGUCGAUAAGAAUUUCUUUAUUGGGCAUUGCAAUCCUACUGGUACAAGACAGAAGGAUACAUCACUCGAUUGGUAAGUAGGGCGGAAUGUAUGUGGUUGUAUAGUACAGGAAAUUUCCCUACAUUUUGAACCAAACCAUUGCCGAUGGUUUGGUACAAUUAGAUGAGUUUGGGAUUUGCCUUAGGACACAGGGAUUAUUUAUAAUGCUUCUGAUUAAUUUGUGUUUCUCCUAUAUGAAAUGGCUUGAAUUAUAGCACAACUACACAGUUUUACUCAGCUGCCUACCUACAAGAUAAUAGCUGGUUAAGCAAUCACAAAUUCCAAUUAUCAUUGGAAUUAUGAUUUGUCAUUACUCUAACCAUCAACAUCAGCACCAUCAGUAUCAAUGGUGACUAUCCAUUGGGUUUGGACACAGUUAGCUCAGUUAGUUUGGCACCCAUUUGCAACCAAUUGUUGGGUUCUUCAAAGGUUAUCAAAAGGCCUGCCUCUUGAUUUUUCUAUCAUACUCUUUUGUCUCCUGUUCCCAUUUUUCCCCUCUUCUUGGGGAUCCAAUUUGUUGCCAGCAUCUGUACAAAACAGUGUUGGACCUCUUAGCAAAAGAUGCUAUUAAUUGGAGUUUUUUCCUUCUCCAGGACUAUGUUCCCAACUGUUUGCCAUUCCCAAGAAAACAGGGAAUUGGAAUCCAGUUAUAAAGCUUUCAAUCCUCAAUUAAUCCAUUUACCUCCCCUCUCUUAUCAUGGAGUAUUUUCUCAUGCUUGGAUGGUCUGUUGGUUCUAGGUGGCUGGAGGGACAAGAAAGACAUCUUGGAUGCUUACCUUCACAUUCUGAUUUCCCAUGCUUCCUGGUGUUAUCUUUGGAUUGUUCCCCAGAAUCAGAUAUUUCAAUUCCAUGCUCCCCAUUUUGGCCUAGCUUUGUAGGGUAGUGAAAGCUUUUGCUUGUCACAUUCAUGGCCUGGGACUGCAUUUUCACCAUUAUAUGGAUGAGUGGCUUCUUUUGGCUCUGUCUUGAUGAGCCUCAUACGACCACUCUUCUCUUCCUUCGAGAGUCCACAUAUUUGGGUUGAUUGGUCAAACUGGAGAAGUCACAUCUCACACCCAUUAUCUCAUUCAUUUGGGUGUUUUACAAUUCACAUCUCAGUAGUUUGCAGCCUUCCUCUCUGUAUAACAGGCAUGGAGCACUUAGUUGCUAGUUCCAUAUUCUCUCAUAUUUCCACUGUUCAGGAGGUUCUCAUUUGGGGACUUGGGCUUACAUAAAAUUCCUUAUCCCUUUGGGACAUUCUUUUAUGUGUCAUCUUUAAUGGGCUCUGCAUGAUUAAUAGGAUCCUCUAUCCUUCACCUUGAAAUGGCAUAUUUACGAUCUAAAAAAAUUUCUGGUUGCUUUACACCUUACUGUUUCUCUGGCUGCUUGCUUCUGUUGUCCAUUGGAGUGUAUUGUGCAAGCUAGUAUGUGGAGUACCCUACACACUUUUGUCACGCAUUACCUUCAUCAUCUGACUGUCUAUUCUUCCUCAGGAUAUCGACUUCUUCCCAUUGCCAUUCUACAUACACCUUACCAGCUCUGACUGGUUAAGUUUUUUUUUGUUUUCCCUUACGUUUAUAGGGUCGAUAUUUUACAUCUCAGGAUCCUGUUAAGUGGUAUGUGGUGCCUGCCAGGGUAUACUUAUAUUUAACUCCAUACUGUGGAUCUGUUUGAGCCUGUCACACUCACCAAUAAAAUGAGGUGUUCUUCAAGAACUCUAGAGGUUUCUUUGUGGUAUAGUGUUUGCUAAACAAGGCUCAAUCCAGACUGUACUCUCCUUAUUGUAAUUGAGUACGUGAGUCCUUUUCACUCACCAGUUCCUAGCUGCUGGGAUGGUGAAUCAUGGAGGCUUCCUCACGAGUGUGACCAAUUUUACGAGUAGGGCAGUGGUGUUCUGUUGAUGUAGAUAGUGUGGACCAUCCUCCUAAUGCAGAACGAACGAAAAAUUCCCAAUGCUACUUGGUUUUAGCCUAGAGAUGACCCACUAAGUAUAAGUUCACCCCUCUGGCUGGAUUUUACACAUCCUACCGUUGUCUGGAUGUCAAUUUCUGGGUGGUCAGGUAUUGGACAGGAGUAGAACCAGCCAACAUAAAUAAGCCCUCACUUAUGUGGUUGAAAGGGACCACUCUCCAACUAUGGACCAUAUUAAAAAUACCCGAUGAAAUAUGAUUUUGACCCAUUGACCCACCAUGUAAGUUCAGAUGUGCACUGGCCACAAUACACCAUGUGGCAUGUCCAUAUUUCAGACUCUGGAUUGUGCUUAUUUUCUGUCCAACUUAGUGACAUAUUUCUUAUGGACAAAGUGUAUACCAUGGUACAGAAGAGUUGCAGUCUUUCAUGGGUGUGCCCUUAUGUUUUAUUUGGCAUAGGGCAUUACACUCCACAAGCUUCUUUUGGGCACUUUCCAAACCGAGUUCAUCUAGGUAACUUUUGAACUGGUCCCUCCACUCUUUCAAUGUGGAAUGCUAGUUAAUAUUCGAGGGGAUGUGAGGUAUCAUUUUGGAGUUAAACAUUUUCCAACACUGAAAAUGCAUUUCUGAUAGAUAUUUACCUCCAGUGCAUCUUUUCUUGCUUAAUUUCAAAUGGUAAUUGAACAGGCAGUAUGGAUGGAAUCAGCUAUGCUAGGAGGGUGUGUCACAUGCUCAUUUGUAUGCUAAAGCACAACAAUAGCACGUGGAAACAUGCUCGUUUAGGUGGGACGCUCAAGGCUAGUGCCGAGGAAAAAAAUUGUACAUAUAGGGGACAGCAUAAAAAUCAGGAAAGCUAAUAUGUAAGAGAAGGUAAGUAUCUAUCGGAAAUGCAUUUUCAGUGUUGAAAAAUAUUAACUUUCACACAUCUAAGUGACACGAUUCAUGUGAAACUUUCUUUUGAUAUACCUCUUCUCCUGACAACCAAUACAACAAUAACAAUGGGCAAAAAACUUUCCCAGCAUUAGAUGGAUGGAGUCUCCCACCAAAUGCUACCUGCCUCAGGGCUCUUCCUUUGUGAUGGUGUUUUCAGAAUGGAACUCAUUUUUGUAAUUUCUUUUUCUGCACUGCCCUCUCCUUUAUCUUCACUGCAGAAUUUUAGCUCUUUGUAGUGCAGAGGCAUGUAACUUUUUCGAAGCUAACAUUUUCCUCACCUGACAAUAUAUUUCAAAUAGAUUAUCACCCCUCUGCACAAACUUCACACGUUUGGCGUAUUUAGUUUGCCUGAUCAAGAAUAAGAUUGUGUUAAAAUGCUAGUGCUCAUGGGGAUUACUGUAUAUGGAAGAUGUGUCGCUCUCCUACUUGUGGAAGGCAAUAUUGUUAUGAUUAUUACACCAUAAUCUAGUGCAAAAACACUACACUGUUCAAGGCUUGUGCAGGAAUGUGCACAGAAGUUGUGGACAUGAAAUAAUAGCUAUAUGAUGAAGAUAUAUAUAUAUAUAUAUUCAAAAUGCAUUUUCAGGUAAGGAAAAUGUUAAAAAUUAUUGUUUCAGGUUUAAAAAAGAUUCUCCAGAACUGCUAACAACUGCAAAAUUGCCCAGCUCAUCAUUAAGGCUGGACUACCCAAUUGCUUUAUCAAUCUAAAUCUGUAUUGCUUAUCCACGUAUCAUAAACUUAAUAUUAGAACAACACUUGCAUAAGCAGGCUUAUCUUCAAUUAGGAUUUUUAGGAUUUAAUUCAGUACGUCUUUAAAACGUAGUUUUACGUAAAUAUCUAAACAAUGAAGUCCUAAUAUGAACUAUUUCAUGAUAAAUUAAUUUUUCAUAUUAGUGUUAGAUGUUUCUUUUAUAGAUUUGAAUCAGUUUACAAGCAGCUAUUGAAAAUUGUAUUCAGAGUUAUAUAAUCCACAGAUAAAUUUAAGUGAAAGACAGUUUACUUGUUCAGAAAUGGGUCUUGUUGAACAUGUAAGAAGAGGCAAGCUAAAUUCUUGAGUUGUUAAAUUCUGCAGAUAAUUCGAUUUAUAUUUGAUUCGUCAAUAGAUUAAUAUUUUUUUAUGGAAAAUAAAUGUUUCUUUACCUAGGA